rnacentral:rRNA from 1 species
GAUGAACGCUGACAGAAUGCUUAACACAUGCAAGUCUUUGGCGAAGCUGUGCUUGCACAGCCUAGCCAAGGCGGACGGGUGAGUAACGCGUAAGGAACUUGCCCUGCAGUCAGGGAUAACAGACGGAAACGACUGAUAAGACCUGGUAAAGUCAGGCGGACUCAUGUCCAGCCUGAUGAAAAGAGAUGCUGCAGGAGAGCCUUGCGUCCUAUUAGCUUGUUGGUGGGGUAACGGCCCACCAAGGCGAUGGUAGGUAGCCGGCCUGAGAGGGUGGACGGCCACAAGGGGACUGAGAUACGGACCUUACUCCUACGGGAGGCAGCAGUGGGGAAUAUUGGACAAUGGGGGCAACCCUGAUCCAGCAAUUCUGUGUGCACGAUGAAGGUUUUCGGAUUGUAAAGUGCUUUCAGCAGGGAAGAAAAAAUGACGGUACCUGCAGAAGAAGCGACGGCUAAAUACGUG